rnacentral:misc_RNA from 1 species
GUAUUUUGAAUUAGUUUAUUCAUAAUAGUUUUCAGACAAAGUAUUUAAAAUGAGUUGAUGUAGAGCCACCCCUUUUUUCCGAAGAAAAAAGCAAGCGACAGACAUUUCACACAAGGUGGAUAUGGAUUUUUAAAAGUGCCAUAAAACACUUAUUAUGAAUGAUCCUUCCGCAGGUUCACCUACGGAAA